UCAGUUUGCAGGUUUAUAUGAGUCGUUGCCUUCUCAAUGCUGGUCUGCAGACAAUGAGAGAAUCUUCAGCAGUGCCUGUGACAACAAUAAGAGGGGCAGUGUUGUGGACUUUGCAGAAUGAGACGACCCUUGAUCCUGAUAGGGUCGCAGUGAUGGGUGGGUCUCACGGUGGUUUUCUGGCCUGUCACCUGGUUGGUCAUUAUCCAGAUUUCUACAGAGCAUGAGAUAUUCCUCUGUUGUGCUUCAGUAUGCUCUUGACCGACUGCCCACAUCACAGUCCCUCAUUUCCAUGCUGGAGAAGUCACCUAUAAUUCAUGCUGCACAGAUCCGUGCUCCUGUGUUGUUGAUGUUAGGUGGGAGAGACAGGAGAGUCUGGAGCUCUAGAGCACUCAAGAGCAGGAGCUCACCUGUCAGUGAAAAUGUGGGUGUCGGAUUCAGGUUAAUUAUGUGUGUGUGAGAGAAAGACACUUGCUUCAUGCUCUACUGUCAUGAGUGAAAGACUGUGAGUCUUUAAAACCAAGCAUCGUCUCGGGAUGGGGGUCAUGAUCCUUGACCUUGGAGUUGUCCAAGUUGUCGUCUCCCUUCCAAACACAAAAAGCAGAGCACAAACCAGCCUUGUACCAAGAGAGGAACUCUCUCUCACUGUAUCCUUGCAGAGCUUCUAACAGACAGUGGAUCUUAAAGGGGACAUGUAGAAAAACAGUUCAGGAAACCCAUUUGAUACUACACUCUCAGAAAAAAGGUCCAAAAGCUGUCAUUAGGGAGAUACCUUUUUUAGAAGUUAUACUUUUGUACCUUAUUUACCCCCAAAGAGUGCAUUUUAGUAUGUAUAUAUACUAUCUAUCAAUUAUCUAAAGGGUGUUGUAUUAGUACCUUUCCAAAGGGUGCCACUACUCCCCUAGUGACAGCUUUUGGAUCUUUUUUUCCUGAGAGAGUAUAUAGACAUUGCAAGUAAAUUGCUGCGGAAGUGUAUAUUGCUAAUUCAAACUUUUUUUUUAUUUUUUUGUAAAUUAUGUGACCCUGAAAACCAAGAUCUUGCUCUCUUGCAGGAUGUUUUUCUUAUAAAAUGUCUCAGAAUGUCCUGUUUUUUAUAUAUGUAUAACAACUUUUCAAAUGUACAGUCUUGCGGUGAAACACCAGAUGAUAAUGCUGGACUGAUUGUGGAAUUUGUAAUGGAAAAUAAAAUAUAUUGUAUAUGUGGGAGAGGAAUUCAUGGGUGACUUUGCAUGGUUCUCUAUUUUAUGCUUGUUAGUUUGAAAGCAUUUCUGUAGAUUAGCUUUGAAUGCUGCUAAUUAGCAGGGUUACCGUAGCACCCGUUUCAGAGAAAUAUGAGUUACAUGCUUGUUUUUGUUAGGGCUUUGGGAUAAGCAGUGCAUGAGCACAUCACAGACAUGCCGCUUGGCAGCACUACAAUCCAUGCUUGC